rnacentral:rRNA from 1 species
UACGGGGGGGGUAAGCGUUGUUCGGAAUUACUGGGCGUAAAGGGCUCGUAGGCGGCCAACUAAGUCAUACGUGAAAUCCCUCAGCUUAACCGGGGAACUGCGUCUGAUACUGGAUGGCUUGAGAUUGGGAGAGGGAUGCGGAAUUCCAGGUGUAGCGGUGAAAUGCGUAGAUAUCUGGAGGAAUACCGGUGGCGAAGGCGGCAUCCUGGACCGACAUUGACGCUGAGGAGCGAAAGCUAGGGGAGCAAACGGG